GUGGGUAUAGCUCAGUGGUAGAGCACAUGCUCACCUGGGUUCAAUCCCCAGUACCACCC
rnacentral:tRNA from 1 species